rnacentral:rRNA from 1 species
AGUGAACGCUGGCGGUAGGCCUAACACAUGCAAGUCGAACGGCAGCACAGUAAGAGCUUGCUCUUACGGGUGGCGAGUGGCGGACGGGUGAGGAAUACAUCGGAAUCUACUUUUUCGUGGGGGAUAACGUAGGGAAACUUACGCUAAUACCGCAUACGACCUACGGGUGAAAGCAGGGGAUCUUCGGACCUUGCGCGAUUGAAUGAGCCGAUGUCGGAUUAGCUAGUUGGCGGGGUAAAGGCCAACCAAGGCGACGAUCCGUAGCUGGCCUGAGAGGAUGAUCAGCCACACUGGAACUGAGACACGGUCCAGACUCCUACGGGAGGCAGCAGUGGGGAAUAUUGGACAAUGGGCGCAAGCCUGAUCCAGCCAUACCGCGUGGGUGAAGAAGGCCUUCGGGUUGUAAAGCCCUUUUGUUGGGAAAGAAAAGCAGCAGGUUAAUACCCCGCUGUUCUGACGGUACCCAAAGAAUAAGCACCGGCUAACUUCGUG